rnacentral:rRNA from 1 species
GGGAUGAAGGCCUCUGGGCUGUAAACCUCUUUUCUCAAGGAAGAAGAUCUGACGGUACUUGAGGAAUAAGCCACGGCUAAUUCCGUGCCAGCAGCCGCGGUAAUACGGGAGUGGCAAGCGUUAUCCGGAAUUAUUGGGCGUAAAGCGUCCGCAGGCGGCCUCGAAAGUCUGUCGUUAAAGCGUGGAGCUUAACUCCAUUUAAGCGGUGGAAACUACGAGGCUAGAGUGUGGUAGGGGCAGAGGGAAUUCCCGGUGUAGCGGUGAAAUGCGUAGAUAUCGGGAAGAACACCAGUGGCGAAGGCGCUCUGCUGGGCCAUAACUGACGCUCAUGGACGAAAGCCAGGGGAGCGAAAGGGAUUAGA